CGGAGAUAUCAAAUAGGGAGGUGAAGCAAAUUCUAGAGAAAACAGUUAACAAUUCUCGAAAAGAUUAGGCCAAAAAGCUAGAUGAUGCGCUGUGGGCUUAUCGGACAGCAUACAAAACACCUUUGGGAAUGUCUCCUUAUUGGUUAGUCUAUGGAAAGGCAUGCCAUCUUCCUGUAGAGCUCGAGCCCAAAGCUUAUUGGGCGAUGAAGCAACUAAACAUGGAUCUUCAAGCAGCUGGUGAAAAGCGUUGUUUGCAAAUUAAUGAGAUGGACGAGUUUCGUAAUGAAGCUUAUGAGAAUGCAAGGAUUUACAAGGAACGGACCAAAGCUUAGCAUGAUAAGCACAUCUCAAAGAAAGAGUUUCUACCUGGACAACAAGCUUUACUUUACAAUGCAAGGCUUCAUUUUUUUUCCAGGAAAGCUCAAAUCUCGAUGGUCAAGCCCAUUCACAGUUGUUAAAGUUUUUCCCCAUGGAGCAGUGGAAAUCACUCAUGAUGAGAAUGAGACAUUUAAAGUGAAUGGACAACAUUUGAAGCCUUAUUUAAGUGGAGAAUUUGACAACAAGAAGACAACCAUUCUUCUUAAUCCGGCCUAGAAGAAGAGCAACAGUGAAGCUAUUGACUAUAACUAAGCGCUUCUUGGGAGGCAACCCAAGCAUUCAAACCUCUGUUUUGCUUUUUU
rnacentral:lncRNA from 1 species